rnacentral:lncRNA from 1 species
CCGCCUUCCAGCCUGAGCGGGGCAAGCGGCACCUCGGGGCUCCUGGCCCUCUCUGGGGUAUUGAUGGCACAGUCCCAGCUGGCUGCCAAGGAGGACAGAGUGGCCCAGGAUGGGGAGAACAGAGAGCGCACCCCGAGCCGGAGCGUUUCUGUCUCCCCUCCCGAGAGCCUGCAGGACGAGGAGCGGUUGGAGCUGAAGCGGAAGCGGGAGGAGAAGGACCUGCCCGGGCAUUAUGACAGCGAUGGGGACAAGAGCGACUACAACCUGGUGGUGGAUGAGGUAAGCCCCCACCCUUCAGGGUGUGCUGAAGCCCCACAGGGUGUCCAGCUCCAGCUGUGGUCAUCAGGUUUAGCACUCUGGUUCCCAAGGUUUGUUAGGCUCCCGGUCAUUGCUGCUAGGCAGGAGUGUGUGCCAGCCCUGCUCUGAUGUGUUCUUGGUAGAGAUGAUAUUUUUUGGGGACAUUGAUUUUCAUCCCCUGCAAGACUGGGGGGAGGGACAACACUUUUUCUUUUUCUUUUUUUUUUUUUCCUCCUAACAAUUCCCAAGAAAAUACAAGCCCUGAAAGGAACAUCAGCAGGGUUUUCUGCAGAGAACGAUACUUAUAAAAACUGCUCGUCAGUGUAAUUAUGGUGAUAAAAUUCUCAGUCCUAAUUGAAUGCUUCUAGGAGUGUGAGAGCUGAAGGGUGGCUUUGCCGCUGAGAUGCUGUCAAGGGGCUGCCAGGAGGCCCUUUCUCAGUUCCUCGGGUGAGCUGGUCUCAUCCCUCCUUGUGAAGGCACCCGUGGUCACCAGUGUCCUCUGAAUCUGCUGUCACUUCUGAUUUUGUUCAAAGAGAAAAAUCAAGGAGGUUUCUCAUCCAGGGGCUCAUGCAGCAGAGCUGAAGCCUCUGAGGGGAGGCUCCUCGUUAAUGCUACUCAGGGAGACAGGGGGCAGCGGGCGGCAGGGAGCGGACGGGGGCUUGAUGGUCCCUGCUGGGCUCUGGUCUAGGGGUGGCUCUCUAGGCCCCCUAUUGUACCUGCCCUCCUGUGCAGAGGGACUGGGGUUCCUGCGUCUCAGAGAUCUCCUCUUCCCCAAGGAUCCCCACUCAGAGCCCAGCAGCCCCGGCCGCACGCCCAGCAGCCGGCUCCCUCCGUCCCGCCAGGAGAUGCCCGAGAGCCCUGCCUCCAUUGCCUCCAGCCGGAGCACGACACCCCUCAAGCCGAAGGACCAGACGCUGGUAGGCAGUAGCAUGGGCCCCCCGGGCUGGGGGUGGGCAGCAGGGCCGG